CAUGAGACCACUCGGAACCGAGACUUCAAAGAUUGGAUUGAAGUUGUCAAGGAGCAUGAGACAUUUUAUCUUUAUAAUGGAGAGCCGGUUGAGAAUGAUGGGCCUUUCAAAGUCUGUUUUAACCCACUCAAGCUCAUCUUCAAUGGAGGGUAUUUCAAAAAAUGAAGAAGAUGCACGAUUCAUCCAUUUACAAUGUUUUAAUUUUUAUAUCAAUCCCAUCCUUUCCGUUAAUGGGGUUGUAUUUUUACCGAGUCAGUUCAAUUUCCUCUGGUAAGAACAGUGAGGAAAAACCAACGCAGUUUCCAUUUGGUUGAAAACCUUUGGGGGUCAUCUAAAGAACAAGUCUUUGUAUGCCUUGGGAUUAUGUUCAGAGUUUUAGUUAACGCGGGUGAUACUUUACUUUUUGGUUUAGAUUCAUGUGACUAUACCAAUAAACCUCGUGGGAAAGCUAUCCUUCAUCAUAAGGUCAAUAAUCUACCAGUAAAUUUGCUUCGUGUUGCAUACUCGAGCCAGAUCCAUGGUCAAAGCUCUUAUUCCUCUUAUGACUUGCCCAAGACUGCUGUGAUGACUCUCAACCAAGUUUCAAUUGUAAAAAGUUUGGACUUCCCUCUAUUUAUAUUUCUGUUGAUGGUUAGUUGGAACAAACUUCCAUUAUUGCCUUUUCCUAGAUGCUUUAGAAUUUUUAACUUGGUUGAUACUGAUAUGGUGCUGAUAUAAUGGUGAUAUUGGUGAUAUGGUACUGAUAUGUUGGGUGUCUUGAAAAAGUUGAUCAUCUCAUAUCAGGAAUUGGUUUAUGUUCUGCCUGAGGCACUGUCACAAUUUGUUUUCAUGAUUUCUUCUGUAAAUUUUUUAUUACAAGGGAAGAUUUUGGCUAAUGAAUGAGGUAUGUACAUUUAAAAAAUAUAGGAUCAGAAGGAAGAUGUUGGUUAUGCUAAUAAAUAUUAAUUAUACCCAAACCUAAUGGGUAAUGCAGAGUCAUGUCAUUUGACAAAUGUUGUGUUGGCUAUGGUGAAGGUUGCAUUUGAUACUCUUGAUUUUGAGCUUCAUAGUGGAACUCAUCCUAGACUUGGAGUGGUGGAUCAUAUAUAUUUUCAUCCUUUGGUUGAUAUGUCGUUGGAUCAAGCGGCUAGGACUGCGAGGUGUUUAGCUACUG